UCUUCAUCUGUCCUAUAACUAUAGUAAUUUGAAUAUAAUAAUUCUUCCCUGCUUACAAUAAAGUACAAUAUAAAUAUCUUAUAGAAAAAAAGGUACUCAGCUACGAUUAUCUCUGAAUAUAUAUAUGAAAAAUAUCUAAGCAAAACAUGCUUAUAUAUUUUUUUAAUUUUAAUUAUGUUGUAUUUCUCAAUUUUAGAGAGAAGUUCUUGUUGAUGAACUGGUUGUUGUAUUCCCCAGUCCAAUAACCUGGGCACAGUCUCCUCUCCAGAAGUUCACUAACAGCAAGGAUCAACAAGAAGGCGCUGGCUGUGCCCCUUUCAUUGCCCAUCUGGCUGCCUCCCAGCUGCUCCCUGGCUGACUCUGUGCUCGGCUCCCAGCGUGGCGGGAGCUGCCGCUCGCCACUAUCGCCGUCCCUUUUCCUCAGCGUUGGUCUGCAGGAUGGUGAGGCCACAGUCUGGCCUCACUUACCCUGAUUUACUUUUAUGGGAUUCAGUCAAAAUGCUACAGAUUUAUACCACUGAGGCGAACAGCAAAGUUUAACUCUUCAUGUUGGGAGGGCUGGAAGCGCUUCGGGUCCACAGGGAAUGUUUUCUGCCAGCCCUGGUGACAGCAGUGCCAGCCCCUCUGCUGAUAUGCAGCCAGUUCCCACUGUCACACUCCUAUUGCCUUGUCCAUGCUUGUUUUACACGCCUCACAGAGUUCUUACCUUUUUCCAUUUCCUACCAGUGUCGUUGACAUAAAGAAUAUUAAACCAAAAUAUACUGAGACGUCGCUUCUUUGGGACCGGUGUCUGACAUCCUUAUUCCCAGUGAACAGUGCUUCAUUUCCCAAAUAGCUUAAUCCUUUCAGUGGGGCAGCUGCAGAGGGAAGGCCAGAUCCACAAAAGGGCUCUGACAUAGCUAUGCUUAAAUUGUAGGCCUGGUAGAUUACUGGAGCUUGAAAUAGGAGUUAGGGAGUCUUUGCAGGUUGUACAGAGAAAGUUGGACAUUGCGGACGGGGGAAGAACAGCUUCAGGAAUUUAACUAGGAAAACACUUCUACUCAACAGCUGAAGCAUCCUGAUGGAGGAGGCAUCCACUCCUUGGCACCGCUGUAGGUAUCCCUUUCCUGGUGCUCAUUCCCAGGAAGGACAUUAAGGAGCCGCCCUGCUUCCCUGCAGCACCUUCGCUGUGUGGAAGAAGUCGUGGAAGAAGAUAAUCAGGCCUGGAGGACAGGAGAAUGCAGAAUUUGGUUUAGGAUAAAUCCAGCAAACCCAAAACAGGAAAUGGAAUUUAAUGAGUUCACUGGGACCGCCUUCGCCUCCUCGACUCUUCACUGGGAGUGACUCUCCUGCCCACUGACUACAUCAGCUCCUGGCUGCUCUCAGCCAGCUAAGGCAGAAAGGCUGCCAAAUAGCUUCCUGCUCCAAGAUCUCUGUAUCCUUUCAGUGUCAUGGGACAUAACCCUGCAGCUCCAGUGUUUGUU